UUUUAUUUAAAAUAGUAUACAGUGUAACAUUCUUUUUCUUCCACUGGGUAAGUAUAUUUGUACUUAGGCAAUACAAUUUACUUCCUUUUGCAGCCCUCUAGCCCUUUCCAGGACUUUUUAGAGCCACUUUAGUGCCCAAAAGUUUGGGUCCCCAUUGUCUUCAAUGGGGUUCUGGUUCGGGGUCAAGUUCGGGUCAAGUUCGAGUCACGAACAUCCAGGUGUCCGCUCAACUCUACACUUUGUGUAUCUUUCUGUACCCACCAUAUGACAAUAAAUGUAUAGUGAUACAUACAAAGCGUAGAGAGGAACAGGUGCAACUAUGAUCCACAGACAAAGAACGGGGUACGGCUUGUGAAAGGCUGUUGUGUGAGCCGAAAUGUUGCCUUUCCACUCCAGGAGAGUCUUCCUUUUGGACACCCUAUGUGUGCCCAGACAUCUAUUCUCUACCAUGACUGAAAUAUGAGCAGAAGGUCUU